GAUGAACGCUGGCGGCGUGCUUAACACAUGCAAGUCGAACGGUGAAGGCGGAGCUUGCUCUGCUGGAUCAGUGGCGAACGGGUGAGUAACACGUGAGCAAUCUGCCCCUGACUCUGGGAUAAGCUCUGGAAACGGCGUCUAAUACUGGAUACGAGCUGCGAAGGCAUCUUCAGCAUCUGGAAAGAACUUCGGUCAGGGAUGAGCUCGCGGCCUAUCAGCUUGUUGGUGAGGUAACGGCUCACCAAGGCGUCGACGGGUAGCCGGCCUGAGAGGGUGACCGGCCACACUGGGACUGAGACACGGCCCAGACUCAUACGGGAGGCAGCAGUGGGGAAUAUUGCACAAGGGGCGAAAGCCUGAUGCAGCAACGCCGCGUGAGGGAGGACGGCCUUCGGGUUGUAAACCUAUUUUAGCAGGGAAGAAGCGAAAGUGACGGUACCUGCAGAAAAAGCGCCGGCUAACUACGUG
rnacentral:rRNA from 1 species